rnacentral:rRNA from 1 species
CUGGCGGCGCGCCUAACACAUGCAAGUCGAACGGAGCUUAGAGAGCUUGCUUUUUAAGCUUAGUGGCGAACGGGUGAGUAACGCGUGAGUAACCUGCCCUAGAUGGGGGACAACAGUUGGAAACGACUGCUAAUACCGCAUAAGCCCACGGUACCGCAUGGUACUGAGGGAAAAGGAUUUAUUCGCUUUAGGAUGGACUCGCGUCCAAUUAGCUAGUUGGUGAGGUAACGGGCCCACCAAGGCGACGAUUGGUAGCCGGACUGAGAGGUUGAACGGCCACAUUGGGACUGAGACACGGCCCAGACUCCUACGGGAGGCAGCAGUGGGGGAUAUUGCACAAUGGGGGAAACCCUGAUGCAGCGACGCCGCGUGGAGGAAGAAGGUUUUCGGAUUGUAAACUCCUGUCGUUAGGGACGAUAAUGACGGUACCUAACAAGAAAGCACCGGCUAACUACGUG